GACGAACGCUGGCGGCGUGCCUAACACAUGCAAGUCGAGCGGAGUUAAUUAAAAGCUUGCUUUUGAUUAACUUAGCGGCGGACGGGUGAGUAACGCGUGGGCAACCUGCCUAUUACAGGGGGAUAAAACAGGGAAACUUGUGCUAAUACCGCAUAAUACAAUGAGAAAGCACUUUCUUAUUCUCAAAGGAGCAAUCCAGUAGUAGAUGGGGCCGCGACCAAUUAGCUAGUUGGUGAUGUAACGGACAACCAAGGCGACGAUUGGUAGACGAACUGAGAGGCUGAUCGGCCACAUUGGGACUGAGACACGGCCCAGACUCCUACGGGAGGCAGCAGUAGGGAAUAUUGCACAAUGGGGGAAACCCUGAUGCAGCAACGCCGCGUGAAGGAUGAAGGUUUUCGGAUUGUAAACUUCUUUAGUCAGGGACGAAUAAAUGACGGUACCUGAAGAAUAAGCACCGGCUAACUCUGUGCCAGCCGCCGCCGUAAUAC
rnacentral:rRNA from 1 species